UGAGGAAUCGGCUUUUACUCAUCCGUUCUUGUUGGGCUUAAGGUCCAAAUUAUUGGUAUUGUUCAAUUUACCCCAAAUGGUAUUGUUCAAUUUACAGUCAAUGUAGCUUCAGCUACUGAACGGAACCACGACGGUGCUUAGUGUUGAAAAAUACUUCCUUCUUUGGGCGAUGAAGAAAGGACAUACUUUCUUCUUCUUUGUCAAUCAGCGCAAUCAUCUCUUUCCGAUGUCUUGAUCAAACUACGGCAUCAUGUUACGAUACAGGUAACUUCACAAGUAAUGCUACCUAUGCCGAGAACCGCAACCCUCCUAUUUUAUUCUCUGGCUUCCAAUGUCUCUGCAAAUGGGGGUAACAAUAUAUGCACUUGUGCAGUGCACUCCAUAUCUCUCUCGCAGUGAUUGCAGCUAUUGCCUGAAAGAAAAUUUUGGGUCACUUUCAUAGAUGUUGCCAUAAGAAGCAAGGAUGUUUUGUUAGAAGACCUAAUUUUAUUUUCCGGUGGCACUUGAAUCCCUUCUAUAAUUCUACUACUGCCAAUCCCCUUGCAGCAUCUCCUCCAGGGUCAACCAAUAUAACAGGUAUAAAUGGCUACAGGUACCGUGAUUGCCUGUGUGGCCAUUGCUUGCAUCUUUUUUUCCUCGGGGGAGGACGAAGCUCGGGCUGGAGAACGAAAGGCACACUUUCAGAUGGACAACAAAUAGCAGUGAAGAGGCUUUCCAGACAUUCGAGUCGAAGGGAAGGAUAAUUUAAGAAUGAGGUGUUGUUAAUGACUAAGCUUCAACGCAGGAAUCUGGCCAGGCCUCUUGGCUUCUAGCCUUCUGCUUGGAGGAAAUGAAAGACUUCUUAUCUACGAGUUUGUGCUGAACGCAAACCUCGAUCAUUUUAUAUUUG